rnacentral:rRNA from 1 species
GACGAACGCUGGCGGCGUGCCUAAUACAUGCAAGUCGAACGAAGCUUUUUUAACUGGUGCUUGCACCGACUUAAACAACUGAGUGGCGAACGGGUGAGUAACACGUGGGUAACCUGCCCCAAAGCGGGGGAUAACAUUUGGAAACAGAUGCUAAUACCGCAUAACCACAGAAACCACAUGGUUUCUGUGUCAAAGAUGGUUUCGGCUAUCACUUUGGGAUGGACCCACGGCGUAGUAGCUAGUUGGUAAGGUAAUGGCUUACCAAGGCAAUGAUACGUAGCCGAACUGAGAGGUUGAUCGGCCACAAUGGGACUGAGACACGGCCCAUACUCCUACGGGAGGCAGCAGUAGGGAAUCUUCCACAAUGGGCGCAAGCCUGAUGGAGCAACACCGCGUGAGUGAAGAAGGGUUUCGGCUCGUAAAACUCUGUUGUUAAAGAAGAACGUAUCUAAGAGUAACUGCUUAGGUAGUGACGGUAUUUAACCAGAAAGCCACGGCUAACUACGUGCCAGCAGCCGCCGUAA